GCCCAUCCUCGACAACGAUGUUGUAGUAUUGUCUGAGUGCCGUUUGUGGUUUUAGCCUCCGUCCGGUUGAAGGGGCCUUAAUCUGCGACGGGCAUAGGGCCCUACCGCCGGAGGGGGUUCCCGGCUCUCACCCGCGGUGCCCGCUCCCUCCCGGGCCCUACGGGGUGCAGCAGGCGCGAAACCUCCCGCAAUGUGAGAAAUCGCGACGGGGGGGAUCCCAAGUGCCAUUCUUAACGGGAUGGCUUUUCUUUAGUGUAAAAAGCUUUUGGAAUAAGAGCUGGGCAAGACCGGUGCCAGCCGCCGCGGUAACACCGGCAGCUCUAGUGGUAGCAAUUUUUAUUGGGCCUAAAGCGUCCGUAGCCGGUUUAAUAAGUCUCUGGUGAAAUCCUGUAGCUUAACUGUGGGAAUUGCUGGAGAUACUAUUAGACUUGAGACCGGGAGAGGUUAGAGGUACUCCCAGGGUAGAGGUGAAAUUCUGUAAUCCUGGGAGGACCGCCUGUUGCGAAGGCGUCUAACUGGAACGGUUCUGACGGUGAGGGACGAAAGUUAGGGGCGCGAACCGGAUUAGAUACCCGGGUAGUCCUAACUGUAAACGAUGCGGACUUGGUGUUGGGGUGGCUUUGAGAGCUUCAGUGCCGAAAAGAAGCUGUUGAAACAACCGCCU
rnacentral:rRNA from 1 species